rnacentral:snRNA from 1 species
AUUCAUUCCGAUGAACCUAUACUAAAAUUGGAACAGUAUAGAGAAAAUUAGAAUGGCUCCUGCGCAAGGAUGACACGCAAAUUCAUGAAGAGUUCCAAAUUUUU